AUGGGAUCUCAAACACAACAUAAGGAAUCGUGUGGCGCUGUGACAUUUUCAACCUACUUGGUUUAUAAGAGUGGCCCACUAUUUUUGUCGUCAAAAGGAAUUGGAUGGACCUCAUGGAAGAAAAGGUGGUUCAUUUUAACUAAAACCUCCUUGGUCUUCUACAGGAGUGAUCCAAAUGUGGUCCCUCAGAAAGGGAGUGAAGUCAAUUUAACCCUUGGAGGUAUUGAUCUCAACAGUUCAGGCAGUGUGGUAGUCAAAGAAGACAAGAAAUUGCUCACCGUGCUCUUCACUGAUGGUCACGAUGGACGAGCUUUCACACUCAAGGCAGAGACACUGGAGGAUUUGCAUGAGUGGAAAAAUGCACUUGAGGAAGCCCUUUCAAAUGCCCCUAAGGCUGCUCUUGUUGUCGGACAAAACGGUGUAUUCAGGAACGACCAGUCCAACACAGCUGAUGUUUCUUCAGAACAGUCUAAAGACAGGCAGUCAGCUAAAUCCUUGGUAAUUGGCCGACCAGUUUUGCUUGCUCUGGAAGAUAUCGACGGCACCCCAUCCUUUCUGGAAAAAGCUCUUAGGUUUCUUGAAGAGCAUGGAGUGAACACAGAAGGCAUCUUGAGGCAAGCUGCUGACGUUGAAGAUGUUGAGCGUCGAAUACAAGAGUAUGAAAAAGGGAAAGCUGAGUUUUCACCGGAGGAGGAUGCACAUGUUAUAGCUGACUGUAUAAAGUAUGUUCUCCGGGAGUUACCUUCUUCACCAGUUCCUGCUUCUUGCUGCAAGGCCCUUCUUGAAGCUUGUCGAACUGAACGGAGCAUGAGAGUAAACGCCAUGCGUUCAGCAAUAUGUGAAACAUUUCCAGAGCCAAAUCGUCGCUUAUUGCAGAGGAUUCUUAUGAUGAUGCAAACAGUGGCUUCCCAUAAGGCAGUGAAUAGAAUGAGCAUAUCAGCUGUGGCAGCCUGCAUGGCUCCCUUACUUCUGCGCCCCCUUCUUCAUGGUGAAUGUGAGCUUGAUAAUGAUUUUGACGUGGGGGGUGAUGGCUCUGUUCUACUUUUGCAAGCAGCUGCUGCAGCUAAUCACGCUCAAGCUAUUGUUAUUACAUUACUUGAGGAAUACGAUAAUAUAUUUGGGGACGGUUCCACAACCCAUGAACCCUACACUGAUUCAGAAGAGAGUGGAAGUGAAAGUGAGGAAAUUACAGAUGAUGAUAGCUUUGAUGAGGAGGACGAGGAUGAAGAAGUGACCGAAGAUUCUGAUUAUGAUGUAGAUGAAGAUUUUGAGCAUGAAUCAACUCCAGCUAGUAGUGAGACUGGUGAAAUCCAAAGUGGCAUUAAGGCCUCUGGAAGUCAGAGUUCAGGGUCGUGCUCUCCUCAAGUAGGUGAUGUUCUUGAUGCCAGCCAAAGUUUGUUAUCAAGUCAGCCGCAAACUUCAUUGCGUCAGCAUGAUCGUGCAGAAGGGCUUGACAAUGUUCUUCAUCUAGAUGAUGCAAAGACGCAAUCAGAUUUCUACUCUGAAAUAUCAGGGGAUGAUUUUACUGAAACAUCCCUGGUCCAAGUGCCUUUUGAAUUAUUGCACGGACCUGCCCGCAGUAUUCGGCGACCUGCUGUUUGGGGGCGUACUCCUGCGAAGAAGAACCUUUCUAUGGAAUCUAUUGACGUUGUUUCAGAAGAUGGGGCUGAAACCCGGAAGAUAGAGAGUGUCAAAACAGAUUCACAGACCAGAACUUCAAAUGAGGCUAUGGUGAAAUCACUUCUGCAAGAUAGUCUAGAGAGCCGAAAGCAUUACUUGAAUGAACGGCGCCUCGCACUUGAGAAAGAUGUGGCAAGACUACAAGAGCAGUUGCAGAAGGAAAUGGACUUGAAGAUGGCACUUGAAGCUGGGCAAGAAUCCCUAUCUGUUUCAUCACUUGUUGAUGAGAAGAUGAAGGCACAGCUGGAAGAAAUUGCUCAAGCGGAGGAAGAUGUUAGGAAUUUCAGGAAGAAGGCCGAUGACCUUGAAUCUCAGCUUAAUGAACAGCGUGAGCAAAACUCUAGGAUUGGGCAUGAUAUUGGCAAUCAGCUUCAUCAAAAUCCAAAUCAUCAACCGAAGUCGAAGGAGAAGCAGAUAGAAACUGGAGUCUUAGCUAUCUCAAGUACUUCUGAGAGUUUAUCUAGAAGCAAGCAUCAAUCCCACUUGGACAAGUCAUACAGUGACAAAGAUAAGAAACGGGAAUCUCAAACUUCAUCAAAUAUACCACUGCCUCUGAACCAGCAAACAGAAGCUGCACAAAAUCCAAAAGCUGUUGGAGUUCCGAAUAGUGCAUCCAAUGUGGAGAUGGGCACGAAUAAGGCUGGUACAGCCAUGUCUAGAAAGUCUAGCACAAAGGGCGAGGGCAACAGUAAUUCUACCAGUUCUGCUCUGUCAAAGCUGACACACAGACUUACCUUCUUAAAGGAACGGCGUUCACAAAUUGCAACGGAGCUCCAAAACUUGGACAAAGGUCGAACAACUCAGCCUGUCCCAAACCCUGAACAAGGAAGAGGGUCAGAGCAUCGACAGUCGGGUGAAAUUUUGGAUAAGAACCAAGAGUCCAAACGACAAUCAUCAGAGAAAAACCAGGAACUGGAGAAGAAUGAAUCACGUCAAAAUCCAAAUGGCCAGCUGACCCAAAAUGUUGAAAAAGGAAAAAAAUCGGGAGGGCAUGCAAGCCUCGAACGAGGAAAAUCUGAAAGCCUAGAACGAGGAAAAUCUGAAAGCCGAGAAAGAGGAAAAUCUGAAAGCCGAGAAAGAGGAAAAUCUGAAAGCCGAGAACGAGGUAAACAUGAAGGCUUUCCAUCAACAGAUAAAGGUCAUCCUACAUUUGCUUCAAGAACAUAUUCUAGAUGAUGCAUACGAAAGCAUGUCUCUUACAUUAUGGAAAACUCUCCAACACUACGAAGUUCAGAUAAUGAACAUGGUGAUCAAGCUUCUCAUACAAGUUCAUAAUGGCGAAGUUCCCUGCUCCAUGCUCCACCAAUUGUUAUGACAAUUGAAACCACUUGGUAUGCAGUCGUCGUCUUACUGAAUAGCUUGAAAUAUCGUCAUAUAAUUGAUGCUUGUCUGGAGCAGAAUUUUGAUUCUGAUGUACAGUUGUAUUCAAUUUGACAAACACAAAAGCAUUUUCUUUAUUUGGUUAUUACGAGCUGGUUAUAAAUUUUGAAGAUUUGGUCUGAACCUCUCUGUCUUGAGAAGAAACUCUAGCCAAUAUAAUUUUCAUUGUUUCAAUUUCAGAAAAGAUGUUGUGUUAUA